UUGGUGCAAUUUGGGUCAAAAAAAUUAAAAACUGAAACUGAUAGGGUGAAAUAGUAAAUUAAUAAAGGGAAAUUUGCCAAAAGAGUAUUUCUUCUAGACGGUUGGUUUCACAUGUCUCUCUCUCUCUUCAGAACUUCUGAUUUCUUACAUAACAGAGUUAAUAAUUUAAUAAUAGUCCUUCGUGAUUCAAUAGAUUGUCUUUUCCGUCAAAGCCAAGCUCUUACCUUUUACAAUGGAGGAACAGUUCAUACUUAGGGUUCCACCCUCUGUUUCAGAGCGAAUCGAUCGGCUCCUGAGCGACGAGGCUUCUACUUCCGACGACAUCCCUUUAGAUUUGUGCUUUUCAGAGGAUGGGAGAAGCGGGACUUUUGUAAUUGGAAACGAAGAGUUCCGGGCUUCUCUCCUGGAUCUUCCUGCUGUUGUUGAGUCCUUUAAAACUUAUGAUGAUUCUGCACUAGUCAAAACUGCUGAUAUUGGUCAGAUGAUAAUGGUUAGGGAGCCGGGUGAUCCCACGCCUAAUACAGUUGAAUACAGACAUGGUUUAACUCCUCCAAUGAAGGAUGCUCGCAAGAGAAGAUUCCGUCGAGAGCCUGACCUUAAUCCGGAGCUUGUACAGCGCGUUGAGAGAGACUUGCUGAACAUCUUGAGUGGCGGAACCAUCGGACACGCAAAUGAGCAACAAGAGGAAACAGCUGCGAACGAGAAUACUAGUGAUAAUAAUGCAAACAAGAAAGUGUCUUCACCUGCUGAAAAGCCUGAAGCUGCUCCUGAGACAGGGACUAAUACUAGCAAUAAUAAUAAUAAUGCAACCGAAGCUGACCCGGAGAGAAGUGAAUCAGAAGAUUCUGAUGAUUCUAUGUGAGAGCUUUUUUAUGUAACCAGCAGCUAAAGCUAAUAUGAUACUAUAGGAUAUGGUCAAAAAGCCAGGAAAGUUGCAUAAAGCAAGAGAAGAGUGUUCCGGUCUGUGGAACAUCUGGAUUUCUCUACUUGUCGCUCAUAAGAGAUCAGUUGAUGAAUUGCAAGCACAAACCAGGAUCUUCAUGAUCCAAAAACUCCUAUCAAAUCUGCAGUGUAAGACUCAAUAUUCCAGUUGUCGAUUUGAGCCGUUAGAGGGUUACAAUGGAGAAGAUCUCACUGCAUUUGUAAUCACCCCAAAAGAGAUAGUGGCGGUGGGGACUUUAAGGUUUCUUGUGUGCAAAUUAGCCCUUGUUUUGGCUGCGUUUAAGCCCUUAAAGGAUGGGUCUUAACGCUUCAAGAGGACAAUGCUUUGUCUUCUCUUCUCUUCUCGCAAACUCUCACUUGAGUGUUCAAAUCCUGAAGAUCGAUGUACAUAACUUUGUAUACUAAAGAUAUAGAUCCAUGUGUAUCUGACAUACAUCAUAUAAGUUGGUAUAAAUUCACCAAGGCAGAGUUUGAUUCUUAAUACAAUUCUAUGUAUUGCUAUCAUUGAUUUUUAACCCAGUGUUUUUGUUGUUUACUUUUUUUUUUAAAGAAUGCAUGUUAUAAGGACAAAGGAAAGUGUAUGGCAUACCAAAUUAGUUUGUUUUCUUGAGGGUUUAGUGGGAUGUCAUUUGUCAAGGAAUUGAUUGGGCAAGCCACGACUUAUGAAAGUAUAAUUAGGAGGAGGUUUGUUUUCUCAAAUAUAAGAUGGACACUUUUAUUUAUCAUAACUACUAACAACCAUUAUGUUUAUGAAAGGGUUGACUAGCUAUUUUCCCACGAGAACUAUGAUAUAGCACCAAAUCUCUCUGAAACCAUUGCUUCUGUCUAUAUGUCCAUGAGACUAAAGUUUUAUAGCUAUUUUCCCAUGAGUUCAUAGUUCGAGACCUAUUUCCCCACAUUCAUCAAAUUAGACGGUUCAAUAUCGGUCUAUUGUUUUACCUAAGACUAAACCAAAAUUACGACCAAAAGUAAGAUCCGACCAAAGAUUUACCCGACCAAAAGUAACACCUGAGCAAAACACAAAAACCAACCUGGCCCUUACAUAUGUUCCUAAACCCAAAACACAAAAAUCCAUAUUUCUCUGACUAAAAUAAGAACUCUAAAUUCACUUUUUGGAAUCUCAUCGUGUUGAAUUGAAGGCUCGUUCACGAAGUUUUCAACAAGUUGUUCGAUUUCGAAUCCGUCUAUCUCCACAGCUUCUUCGUCGAACUCAUCUUCCACAAUUGGACCCUCCACGUUUUGUAAAGCUCCAGAGACUGACUCCAUUGAUCUCUGCUUCCAAAUCAAAUGAGAUUUUGUUUUCUAGGACUCAACAAAUUGGAAUUUUUUCAAUUAAGGGUUUCAAUGGAAUAACGGGUUUGGGUUUGAAUCAUUUUUUUUCUAAUGAGUCUGAGUUUCAAAUCGGAUUUAAAUCGAUCUUAUUUGGUUAACUAUCAAUUUUAAUCGAUUUAAUCUCAUGUAAAAUAGUAAACCGAUAUUAAACGUCUAAUUCGAUCAUUGUGGGUAAAUAGGUCUCGAACUAUGAACUCAGAGAGAAAUAGUUAUAAAACUUUAGUUUCAGAGACAUAUAAACUGAGACAAUAGUUUUAGAGAGAUUUGGUGGUAUAUCAUAGUUCUUACGGAGAAAUAGCUAGUUGACCUUUUAUGAAAUAUAGUCAACUUUACUUUUAUGCAUUCGUAUAAAAGUUUAAUUAAAGUGGGGUUGAAAAAUAAUCUCUUUAACUGUUUCCAGUUGCCAUCAUUGGUCCAUUGACAUGCAUGCUUGUGUCUUGAAACUCAUCAUUUUAUUUCUUUCUGUCUGGAUAAAUUUCAAAUCUUUUCUGACAUUAUUUUUUUGUUAGGUUAACCAUACUAACAUUUAUAUUACUGUAUUGGACUGUAUGACUUUUGUUCUAUAUAUAUGAUCAAUGAUAUCUCGUCCCUAUGUUUGUGUCUCUGUUUGCAUGCACAUAAUAAUAUCUAGUAUAUAUAAAAAUAUACUGAUCUUUAAACUAUAAAAAGUUUUGUCUAUUGAAUAAAAGUAAAAUUAAUAUCUAAUUUCAGCUACAAAAUAAAUUGUUAGCAAAUUACUAUCGUUCACCUAAAUGUUCAAUACAUAAACUUCGGUUUCUACCGUAUGUUUGGCUCUUUUCUCUCAUGUGUCUUCUUGAAAAAGGGCCACGUUCAAUACAUAAGCUUCGGUUCUCCUGUAUGCUCUACCGCAUGUUUGGCUCUUUUCUCUCAAUACAUUACGAUAAAUAUCCUUUAUACACCUCAAUUAUUAAUGUGGAUACAUAUAUGUCGUUUUGUAUUUUAUUCUACAAUCUAAUAGUAUUUGAAAAUUGUGGUAUAAGUAUUUUCUAAAAAUUCAGUGUUCCCAUCCCAUAAGACAAAAUCGCCCCCUUCUUUUAAAUCUUUAUUGAUGAAGUGGUUGAACAAUUGACGUAUAAUUUAAUGUAUUUGAAUUAGUUUUUAAUACAAAAAUCGGUUGAUGCUAUAUAGUUCCAAACAGGCAAACGUAGCAGUCGUAAGGCAUCAUCACUUUAGCGUAAUUUGUUGUCCAAACAAUUAUACUAUUUAAAUACCUGACAGAUUCUGCCAUUAUACUUUUUUUAUACAACGGUUUUGAUUGCUUGUCCAUUUUUAAAUCUUUUAACUCAAUAAUUAAUAUGCACCCCCAUCCAAGAAAAAUUAAAAUAAUUAUGUGAUAUAGCUAGAAAGAUCGAAGUACACAUUUCAGUUACUAAAUUCCAAAAAAUGUUUUAUAUUUUCAACAUUGGCAUGAAAUUGUUAUUUCUUUCCACCGACUAGCAUU